rnacentral:misc_RNA from 1 species
UGUGUGGCUGGCUUGCCUGCGAUCGCAUCGCCUCGGUCUAACUGAUACACCGAGGUGUCUGCAUCGCAGGCAAGCCAGCUCCCAC